AACCCAUGAUGAGGGCACCUUUUCAAAAAAUCUUUAAAUCUCUCUUAUGCAUCAUAUAAUGUCUCCAUAUCAAAUUGAACAAUGGACGAGAUGUCGUUUCUCAACUU
rfam:Gossypium raimondii chromosome 9, whole genome shotgun sequence.